AUGCGGACUGUCCACGUAAUGUUUACCUACAACCUUUUUUCUGGGCAAAAACAUGUACAUCAGAUUCACAGCUUAUUAUGUACAGAUUGCCUUUUCUGGACCUCACAGCCGCGGUCUACAAUGCCCCACAGCUGCGGUGUACAACCCCUCCUGUUUCCAAAAGAAAAGAGUCUGGCAGCAAUCGACGGCAGAACCAGUUGCUUGGUGAGCCUCAUGGAUGAUGCACACUUGUGGAGAGUGAGCAAUCAAGCAUGGUUCAAUCCUGAGGUAUCAUUGUGGUUGUGGCCUCAGUUGACCUUUGUUGACAGUGAGUGGCCUGGCAUGGCUAAGUGA
rnacentral:rRNA from 1 species